rnacentral:rRNA from 1 species
GAUGAACGCUGGCGGCGUGCCUAAUACAUGCAAGUCGAGCGAACGGACGAUAAGCUUGCGUCCUUAAUGUUAGCGGCGGACGGGUGAGUAACGCGUGCAUAACCUACCUGUAAGACUGGGAUUACAUCGGGAAACCGGUGCUGCUACCGCAUAUUAUUUUGAACCGCAUGAUUCAAAAGUGAAAGACGCUCUUCCUGACACAUAUAGAUGGAUCCGCGCUGCAUUAGCUAGUUGGUAAGGUAACGGCUUACCAAGGCAACGAUGCAUAGCCGAGCUGAGAGGGUGAUCCGCCACACUGGAACUGAGACGCGGUCCAGACUCCUACGGGAGGACGCAGUAGGGAAUCUUACGCAAAGGGCGAAAGCCUGACGGAGCAACGCCGCGUGAGUGAUGAAGGUCUUCGGCUCGUAAAGCUCUGUUAUUAGGGAAGAACAUAUGUGUAAGUAACUGUGCACAUCUUGACGGUACCUAAUCAGAAAGCCCCGGCUAACUACGUG